GGACGGUCACGUGUGAGAGCAGGAGCAGGAAGCUGCAGGUCGGAGAGUCCUGCCGUCGCGGGUGGCUGCGGCCAUGUGUCAGGUGGAGGAAGAGUACCGGGAGCCGCCGCUGGCCCCCGCCCCGCCCAGUGUUUGCAAGACGUGCGUCAAAUGCAAAGAUGCAUCUGCAGCUGUGGUGGUCCGAGCUGGAGACCCGUACUGCAGGACCUGUUUCAAAGACUACUUCAUUCAUAAGUUCCGAGCCAUGCUGGGGAAGAACCGAGUCAUCUUCCCUGGAGAGAAGGUGCUGCUGGCGGUUUCCGGAGGCCCUUCCUCUUCCUCCAUGCUGCGUCAAGUUCAGGAGGGUCUGAGCCAGAACGCUCACAAGAAGCUGCGGUUCUCCCCUGGAAUCGUCUACAUCGACGAGGGUGGCGCUGUAGGGCGGAGCCUGGAGGAGCGGCUGAGAACGGCGUCCGAGCUGCAGGCCGUGUUCAGAUCCACAGGCUUCCCCUUCCACAUGGUUCCUCUGGAACAGGUUCUGGAUGUCCCUCCGUCGGUUCUGGUUCCAGCGGCGUCCUCACAGCCUGCAGCCAGUGUGUACAAAGCAGCCGUGGACGGCUUCCUGCAGGCUGCCGGCGGCCGGCGCCCCGGCGCCGCGGUGCAGCAGCAGGACGCCGCCGGGCUGGACGUCCUGGAGGCUCACACUGCGUCUCUUCAGCAGCUGAUGGACUCUGCAACCUCGCUGACGGCCAGACAGGAGCUGCUGUCCUCACUCAGGCAGCACCUGCUGGUGCACACCGCCCGCUCUCACGGCUACUCCAAGCUCAUGCUGGGCGACAGCUGCAGCCGGUCGGCCGUCAAGCUGCUCGCCGCCGUCUGCCUGGGCCGCGGCGCCCAGCUGGCUCAGGACACGGGUUUCUCGGACUCCAGGUAUGGGGACGUCGUCUCUGUGAGGCCCAUGAGGGACUACUCCGCCAAGGAGAUCGCCUUCUACAACCACAUGUUCGGGGUGCCGUCAGUGCUCAGCCCCAGCCUGACCACCAAGACCUCUGACAAGUCCAGCAUUCAGCAGCUCACAGAGAGCUUCAUCACCAGGCUGCAGGCGGACUUCCCCUCUACUGUCAGCACCAUCUACAGGACCAGUGAGAAGCUGCAGACGGCCGGCGGGUCCUCGGGGGGGACGGCGGGGACGGACACCUGUCUGCUCUGCGUCUGCGUCCUGGACACGUCUGUGGGGAACGCCACGGCCUUCCGGUCCACCCUGGUCUCCCAGUGCCUGUCGGACUCCAGGGCCGUCCCCUCAGGACCAGACCCCGUUUCAGCGAAGCAGAGCAGGCCCUGUGGAGGACAGCAGUGUGGGACUCGUACCUGCAGCGCUGAGGACCGGUAAGACUGCUGUCCAGACCAGAGUCCAGCUGAGGCCGGGGGGGGGGCGUCCCGGGCCGUCCGUCCCGGGCCGUCCGUCCCGGGCCGUCCGUCCCUCCCUGCAGCGGGUUCAGAGACGGCUCCAGGUGUGACAUCCUGGACUGAAGACGGAUCCUCCUGUAACGAGCUCAGCGCGGUCAGGAAGACACGUCUCCACUCAGAGACGUGUCAACACUUCAGAGACUAAAUGUGUGGUCGGAGGUCCCUGAAGCCGGGCUGCGGUGGAUCCAGGUCUGGUCUCUGGCAUGAGUCCAGCAGGGAUCCAUAGGCUGGUCUGUGAAGGGAGCGGUCCAGGCUCUGUCCCACUCUGUCCUGGGAUGAGUCCAUGUCAGACAGACCUGGACCUCCUGGAGGAGCUCUGGAAACUCUGACCCUUCUCCUUUGGGAACCAGAGCCGGGGUCACGGUCCAGGUCCACCGAGCAGGUCUGGGACGGAACGGAAGAUGAGAGCAAAGAGCCUGGAUGGAAAUGUGACCUUUCUGACCUCUAGAACACACCAGGCAGCGGGGGACGGGUUCAGUCUGGUUGUUCUGGUUGCUGUUGGAGCCUGAGGUGGACCGGUGGACCGGUGGACCGGCUCAGGACCACUUCUCUCAUAUGAUUGCGCCGAAAGCGAACGUGAGCUUUAUGAUUCCUUGACGGCAGCAGGCAGCAGGAGCUGUCGCUUCGCUGCGGAGGUUCCUGGUGUUCAGACGCUGGAGGGACGGACUCCGGACCUGAAGGCCCUGCUGUGCUACAGCUGUCAGCGGACGCUCCGAGACCUGUCGUCACUGGACCGUCUUCCUCACUACAUCCUGUCAGAGGCUCAGAGCAGAGCCAGAAG